rnacentral:ncRNA from 14 species
GUAAUGUGUGGCGGCGAGGAUCCGAAUGUCUGAGAUGGUCGCUUGCCUGAGUUAUGUCAGGCGGACAUUCGGGGAGCCAAGUAGCGAAACCGGCCUUAGGCCGG